rnacentral:rRNA from 1 species
GAUGAACGCUGGCGGCGUGCCUAAUACAUGCAAGUCGAGCGAAUGGAUUAAGAGCUUGCUCUUAUGAAGUUAGCGGCGGACGGGUGAGUAACACGUGGGUAACCUGCCCAUAAGACUGGGAUAACUGCGGGAAACCGGGGCUAAUACCGGAUAACAUUUUGAACCGCAUGGUUCGAAAUUGAAAGGCGGCUUCGGCUGUCACUUAUGGAUGGAACCGCGUCGCAUUAGCUAGUUGGGGAGGUACCGGCUCACCAAGGCAACGAUGCGUAGCCGGCCGGGGAGGGUGAUCGGCCACACUGGGACUGAGACACGGCCCAGACUCCUACGGGAGGCAGCAGUAGGGAAUCUUCCGCAAUGGACGAAAGUCUGACGGAGCAACGCCGCGUGAGUGAUGAAGGCUUUCGGGUCGUAAAACUCUGUUGUUAGGGAAGAACAAGUGCUAGUUGAAUAAGCUGGCACCUUGACGGUACCUAACCAGAAAGCCACGGCUAACUACGUGCCAGCAGCCGCGGUAA